AGAGGACGGGGCCAGGCUGCACCCGGCGGUGCCCAGCAGCGGGACCGGAGGCACUGGGCACACGCUGCAGCGCAGCAGGUUUCCCCGCAGUGCUGCCACGGCCGCGCUGCUUCCCCGUUUUGGGUAAUACUACUGGAUAUGUAUGGCUGGGCUAAUGAAUGUAUCGAGACCCCACUGUGGCACGCACGCUAGGAGGAGCGAUCACCCUUGCGCCCGGCGUGUGGCACAGCGCUGAAAGAAAGACGUCUGCUCUCCUAACCUGACGGGGGUUCGAGAGUUUGAUUCCGCAGAUCAGUUGGGCACCCCAGAUGGGACACUCUCUGUUCGGCUGCAGGACCAGUUGAGGAGGGAGACGCCUUUGGCGCGCCCUGAGAAUUGUUGGAAGGACUCCCUCUGCUCAUCCUAUCACUGCGGGGACAGACGAGGACCAUCUGGAAGCGGACCAGACAAUCACUCAAUCUGUCAGGCCUCCCCUGCCUCAUUUCCAACCUUCCCCUCAGUGAGCAGCUUACUACCUCAGCCUUUAGUUUCUGUAGUAGCUGGAUAUCUGUAGUAUUGAUCCGGCCCGAAGGUGACAACCUUCCAACCUGCUGGUCUCUGCCCAUGUUCUCUGUCACAACAUCGGAUGUGUGUGCUCGCUGGAUGCACUGAUAAGAAAUGUUUUUGAGAAGAGAACCUCGUGCUUCCCAGAGCAGUAAGACUGUGAGGAUUUGGGAGGCUCUUCACAAACCUGGUUAGAGUGUGCUUUCCCAGACGGCGUGCUGUUAAAGCAACCCUUCUCAAAAGCAGAGCAUUGUGCCUGGUGUGACUUAAAUCCCACCCACAAAGGAGCAUUCCCUGCAGUCUCUGAUCUCAGGUGCGUGUUUCCCCCACUGCUGGAACUGCUGGA